UCCAAUGUAGUUAUAAGAUAUAAAUGUUGAUUUCGUAAAAGGUCCAUCUCCAUCUGACAAAGUCAUUCUCACCUGGUGCGGGAAUAACACACCGUCUGUACAAAGCACAGGACCUGCUCUCACAAUCAGGUUCAGGACAGAUGAUCAAGACGUGGGGCAGGGUUUCCGACUGAAAUAUACACAGGUGGCAGCACAUGCUUCAGAACUCCUGUCAGAUGACAGUUCAACCUGGGAGACGCCAGUUAUAGCAAUACUUGGUACACUACUCGUCUUGGCUGCCAUCACUAUGCUGAUUUGCAUCCUCUACAUCAGAAGAUUGAAAAAGGAACUGACCCAUGCCUUAAGAAACAAGAAACCUGAAGAUAAUUACAUAUCUUUAGAUGAAACGACCAAGGAGCCAGUUGUUGAAAGUACAUACCAGAACAUUGGUCGAAUGAGUCCUUAUGCAAACACAGACGACGGCCUUCAGGGCAGAAUUUGAAUUAACAUUAACGCUUCGGGUUUGUCGAUAGACACUGCUACUAUAGACGAGAGCACAUGGGCAUACAUUUUGGAAAAUUAAUUCUGUGAUUCCCACUGUUGGUGGUGUGUAUUUAUCUUUAUAUAUGUUACAUAUUCAUUAAUACAUUUUCUUUUAACAUAAUG